GUCGGACGAUCCUAUUGAGUACAAUAUUUGGUAGUGGGAGUGGCGCAAGGGUGCGUAACACGUGGGUAAUUUGCCGUAAAGUCUGGGAUAACUUGCUGAAAGGCGAGCUAAUACCGGAUGUGAUUGCUGGAGGACAUCCUCUGGCACUUAAAGUCGGGGACCGUAAGGCCUGACACUUUUCGAUAAGCCCGCGGCCUAUCAGCUAGUUGGUGAGGUAACGGCUCACCAAGGCUAAGACGGGUAGCUGGUCUGAGAGGACGACCAGCCUCACUGGAACUGAGACACGGUCCAGACACCUACGGGUGGCAGCAGUCGAGAAUUUUUCUCAAUGGGGGAAACCCUGAAGGAGCGACGCCGCGUGGGGGAUGAAUGGCUUCGGCCCGUAAACCCCUGUCAUUUGCGAUCAAACCUUACGACCUAACACGUCGUAAGUUGAUAGUAGCGAAAGAGGAAGGGACGGCUAACUCUGUGCCAGCAGCCGCGGUAAUACAGAGGUCCCAAGCGUUGUUCGGAUUCACUGGGCGUAAAGGGUGCGUAGGCGGCCGGGUAAGUCUAACGUGAAAUCUCCGAGCCUAACUCGGAAACUGCGUCGGAUACUAUUCGGCUAGAGGAAUGGAGGGGAGACUGGAAUUCUCGGUGUAGCAGUGAAAUGCGUAGAUAUCGAGAGGAACACCAGUGGCGAAGGCGAGUCUCUGGACAUUUCCUGACGCUGAGGCACGAAAGCCAGGGGAGCAAACGGGAUUAGAUACCCCGGUAGUCCUGGCCCUAAACGGUGCACGUUUGCUGU
rnacentral:rRNA from 1 species